rnacentral:rRNA from 1 species
CUGGCUCAGGAUGAACGCUGGCGGCGUGCUUAACACAUGCAAGUCGAACGAGGGUUGCUGGUUGAAGUUUCGGAUGGAAACCGGUAAUUCCUAGUGGCGGACGGGUGAGUAACGCGUGGGGAACCUGCCCCGCUCCGGGGGAUACCAGCUGGAAACGGCUGUUAAUACCGCAUAAGCGCACAGCAUUGCAUGAUGCAGUGUGAAAAACUCCGGUGGAACGGGAUGGCCCCGCGUCUGAUUAGCCAGUUGGCAGGGUAACGGCCUACCAAAGCGACGAUCAGUAGCCGGCCUGAGAGGGCGACCGGCCACAUUGGGACUGAGACACGGCCCAAACUCCUACGGGAGGCAGCAGUGGGGAAUAUUGCACAAUGGGGGAAACCCUGAUGCAGCGACGCCGCGUGAGUGAGGAAGUAUUUCGGUAUGUAAAGCUCUAUCAGCAGGGAAGAAGAUGACGGUACCUGCACAAGAAGCCCCGGCUAACUACGUGCCAGCCGCGGC